rnacentral:rRNA from 1 species
GACGAACGCUGGCGGCGUGCUUAACACAUGCAAGUCGAGCGGGGAGAUGCCUUUCGGGGCAUCUUCUAGCGGCGGACGGGUGAGUAACGCGUGAGCAACCUUUCCUCUACUGGGGAAUAACACCGGGAAACUGGUACUAAUACCGCAUGAGACCACAGAGCGGCAUCGCUUAGGGGUCAAAGAUUUAUUGGUAGAGGGUGGGCUCGCGUCUGAUUAGGUAGUUGGUGAGGUAACGGCCCACCAAGCCGACGAUCAGUAGCCGACCUGAGAGGGUGAUCGGCCACAUUGGGACUGAGACACGGCCCAAACUCCUACGGGAGGCAGCAGUGGGGAAUAUUGGGCAAUGGGGGAAACCCUGACCCAGCAACGCCGCGUGGAGGAAGAAGGUUUUCGGAUCGUAAACUCCUGUCCUCAGGGAAGAGCAGAAGACGGUACCUGAGGAGGAAGCCCCGGCUAACUACGUGCCAGCAGCCGCAGUAAGAC